rnacentral:rRNA from 1 species
CAAUAGCGUAUAUUAAAGUUGUUGCGGUUAAAGCUCGUAGUUGGAUUUCUGCGAGGACGACCGGUCCGCCCUCUGGGUGAGUAUCUGGCUGCUGGCUGCUCUUGUGAGACGUAGCUGCACUUGACUGUGUGGUGCGGUAUCCAGGACUUUACUUGAGGAAAUUAGAGUGUUUCAAGCAGGCAUACGCCUUGAAUACAUUAGCAUGGAAUAAUAAUCUAGGACUUCGGUUUUAUUUUGUUGGUUUCUAACACUGAAGUAAUGAUUGAUAGGGAUAGUUGGGGGUGCUAGUAUUGGCCGGCCAGAGGUGAAAUUCUUGGAUUCGGUCAAGACUAACUUAUGCGAAAGCAUUCACCAAGGAUGUCUUCUUUAAUCAAGAACGAAAGUUGGGGGAG